GACGAACGCUGGCGGCGUGCUUAACACAUGCAAGUCGAACGGAAAGGCCCUGCUUGCAGGGUGCUCGAGUGGCGAACGGGUGAGUAACACGUGGGUGAUCUGCCCCUUACUUUGGGAUAAGCCUGGGAAACUGGGUCUAAUACUGGAUAGGACCAUGCUGUAGGUGGUGUGGUGGAAAGAUUUUUUCGGUAAGGGAUGAGCUCGCGGCCUAUCAGCUUGUUGGUGGGGUAAUGGCCUACCAAGGCGUCGACGGGUAGCCGGCCUGAGAGGGUGGACGGCCACAUUGGGACUGAGAUACGGCCCAGACUCCUACGGGAGGCAGCAGUGGGGAAUAUAGCACAAUGGGAGCAAGCCUGAUGCAGCGACGCCGCGUGGGGGAUGACGGCCUUCGGGUUGUAAACUCCUUUCAGCCAUGACGAAGCCUCUUUUGGGGUGACGGUAGUGGUAGAAGAAGCACCGGCUAACUACGUG
rnacentral:rRNA from 1 species